AUAAUGUUGAUUGAAAUAGACCAAAUAAAAAUAAAUAAACUAUAUAAUUCCACUUAUAUAAAAUUCAAAAACAGGCAAGACUGACCUAUGGUGUUAGAAUUCAAAAUUGCCUUUGAGAAGGAAGAUGGAUCCUGACUGGGAGGAUGAUGAUGAUGUUCUUUAUUUUGUCCUCAGUGGUGGUACAUGUGUGUAUUCACCUUGGGAGAAUUCAGUAAGUCAUGCAUUAAUGAUUUGUGUACUUUUCCUAAAUAUGUGGUAGACUUCAACUUUUUUUUUUAAUCUUUUAAAAACUGACCUAUAAGGUUGGAAGUCAGGAUAGUGCAUGCCUUUGGGAAAAAGGAAGGGAAAAUGAUUGGAAUGGAAAGGGGUAUAGGAGAGAUGUCUCUGAGAUGUUGGCAAAGUUUUCUUCUCAACCACAGAUGUUCAUUUGCAAUAAUUCAUAGAGCUGUAUAUUUGUUCUUUGCACAUUUUUAUAUGUGUUACAGUAAAAGUGGUUUUAAAAAAACACACACAGACAAGGAAAUAAGAACAAAACAUUUGUACAUCUAUCAGAAUGAGCAUUUUAUAAUUUUUUUUUUAAUCUCGCUCACUGAUAUUUUUUCCAUUCUUUUCAGAGAGAGUGGAAGGGGGAGAGAGAGAAACAUCAAUUGGCUGCCUCUUGGAUUGAGCCUGCAAUGCAGCAAAGUUCCCUUGACCGAAUCAAACCUGAGGCCCUCCAACCCGAGGGCCAAGGCCACUGAAACAAACCAGCUAGGCCAGAAUGAGGAUUUUAAACAUGUGCUUAUUCUAAGCAAGAGUCUACUAUAUUUAAAUAUCUUAAUAAUUUCAUUACUUACAAAACAGCAUUGUUGUUAUUGUUCAACUCAGGGUGCAAUCAAUUUCACUGGGGCAAGGAAAAGGACCCAUUGCUGAAUGAAUGAUCAAAGAUGCUAUGAAAUCAGGAAACUGGGCAUUUUUGCAAAACUGCCAUCUUGCUGUUUUUUGGAUGUUGGCAAUGGAAGAGCUAAUUAUAACCUUCACAGAUCCAAGUUUUUUGUUAGUGAAAUUUUUAUCCCUAAAACUUCGGUUGAUGUGUGACUUCUAUGCCCAAUAGUUGCUACCUUUCUUGAAAACUCCAUCAAGGUAAC